rnacentral:lncRNA from 1 species
AUGUUUGAUUCUGCCUCCAAAAUUUUGCAGAGGAAACCCACUGGGAAAAGAAAAAUCAGCACCUGUGCCUGCCACUGCAUGACUAUAGCCACGCAACAACUCCACCCUCACCCAACGGACCAGCUACAGCAGGCUGCCAUGCACACAGCUUUCUCCAGACGCUGCCCAUGCGCCCAGCCUGCGCUCCCUACGCCAAACCUGACAUACAACUGCCUCCCAUGGUGUCAAAGGGAGCAGUCGUGUGCACUUUCCUGGCCUGCUAAACAGACCUAGGAUUUCCCGAUGCUCUGCUCACUUCCAUGGGAGGCCAAUGAGCUGACUUGCAACAUCAGGAGCACAGAAGGGUCAAGCUGCUAAUUAGCUUUGAAAUGUCCCAUUUCUUUUAACCACAACCUAAACAUUCCUUGCCUGGAAGAUUAGGAAAUGUAUAGCAUUCCGUCCGGGGCUCUCUUUGGGGUGAGUUCAUAAUUAAACCUACCUGAACUAGACGUUUGGAUCAACGAAUGUGUUUAGAAGCACAUUCUCGCUUUGAUCUUUUUUUGUGAGCCCACAAUUGUCUGUACAUUCACUGUUUUUCCACUCAUGUUAAUACCUUUACACACACAUUUGGAUGGAAGGAGGCACAUUGAACAGAUUCUGGGCUCACUAGACAGCAUUACAACCUACUGUGUAAAUCGCAGAUUCAGUACUUUAACAAUGGAUUUUUGACUAUCAAACUGCAGCAGUGCCUUAGAAGUUGUCCUGGUCAGUUGGCUGUUGCAACGUUCUAGUGACUUUCCCUGGUGUUACUGUAUAGCUCACAUGAAGUACGGAGAUAGAUAGAUCUAUUCUGCAGAGAAGGUAGUGCUGUGAGUUCUAGAAGCAAGUGUCCUGGUUCUAUCCUUGAUUCUGCAUCACAUGGUACAACGGAUGAGUCUGUGGAAGAACAGAGCAUGGGGCCUGGUGCACUAGAAACAGGUGUGUGUGUGUGCACGUGGGUGGGCACACACACACAGAUUAUACCGUCUUUAGUUUAAUUUAUGUGUCAGUCAGUAAUUGGAAUAUGCUUCUAAAAUGCAGUUCUAAUAUUUGUGGUCUCUCAGAGCUUGUCUACACUACCAACCAGAUCGGCGGGCAGUGAUCGAUCCAGCAGGGAUCGAUUUAUCGUGUCUAAUAUAGACGCGAUAAAUUGAACACUCAGAGCUCUCCCGUCGACUCCAGUACUCCACCAGAAUGAGGUGCGCAAGCGGAGUCGACAGGAGAGCAUCAGCUGUCGACUUACUUCAGUGAAGGC